rnacentral:rRNA from 1 species
CGGCGGACGGGUGAGUAACGCGUAGGAAUCUACCCAGUAGUGGGGGACAACGAUGGUGAAAACCAUGCUAAUACCGCAUACGCCCUAAGGGGGAAAGCGGGGGACCUUCGGGCCUCGCGCUAUUGGAUGAGCCUGCGUCGGAUUAGCUUGUUGGUAAGGUAAAAGCUCACCAAGGCGACGAUCCGUAGCUGGUCUGAGGAGGAUGAUCAGCCACACUGGAACUGAGACACGGUCCAG